UCUCGUUGUUGGUGGUAUUAGGGUAGUUAUAAAGAAUCAUUGACCAGUUACAAAGUUGGUGAGUGGCUGAGGUAAGGAACGUGCAUCCGUUGUGGGCGUGUUGGGCCAAGACAUUGUGACACACGUGCACGUGAUGUUGCAACGUCCAGCAACAUCGGCCACCUGCCUACUUGUGUUGCUACGUGUCAGCCGUUAUGGGGAUACGCGGCCGCCUCUCAGGUGCAUCUCUCACUCAGCCGCCUCCCAACACGCCGGUGGCAGGAGUAAGGAGCAAAUGGACAAUCUCGACGGGACGCUAAAACCAACUUGACAUCACUGUUUUUAUCCUUUCAGUGUUGCCUCCAGCUCGACAUUGGUGUACCUUUUCUUUUUUCCUCUGUAUUCAUUUUACCUUGAGUAAUUUUUAGGUAUAUUAUUAUUAUCUAAUAUCAUCCUCCCCUCCUUACUUUUUUCUUUUCCUUCCUUUCUUCCUUACUUCCUUCAUUCCUUCCUUCCUUCAUCCUCCCUCCCUUCCUCCCUACCUCCCUACCUCCUCCUCCUCCUCCUCCUCCUCCUUCUCCUCUCCCCCUCCCUUUCAACCACAUAGAGGCAGCGCAAUUGCAGGAUGGAGCCUGAGGAAUCCAUUGCGGUAGCGAAGGUGAAGAAAAAUGAAGAUAAUGAAGAAAAGGACGCUAAAGAGGAAGAUCGGAAGAUGGUGGUGGACUUUGCGGUGAUCCGUGAUGGCUUUAUUCCGGGAGCCAACGGGGAGGUCCCUCUGCAGUCCUACGUCAACGCCUUCACCGAGCUGAACAAGUGAAUGGCGGAAUGUGUAGUUGUAAUGCUGCAUUGACAGUAGUAGUUGUGGUAGCAGAAGUAGUAGUAGUAGUAGUAGUAGUAGUAGUAGUAGUAGUAGUAGUAGUAGUAGAACCUCUGUAGUUCUACGUCAACGCCUUCACAGAGCUAAACAAGUGAAUGGCGGAAUGUGUAGUUGUAAUGUUCCAUUGACAGUAGUAGUUACAUAAGAACAUAAGAACGCAGGAGUCUGCAAGAGGCCGGUAGGCCUGUACGAGGCAGCUCCUUUGACCCUAAGCUCCCGUGUAUCUAACCCCACCUAAUAUCGCUGUCCAUGAAUUUAUCUAGUCUAUUUUUGAAUGUGACAAUUGUAUUGGCACUCACCACAUGACUGCUAAGCCUAUUCCACUCAUCCACCACCCUAUUAGUAAACCAAAUUUUGCUUA